CUUCCACCUUUGUUUAGAUCAUGAGCCAUACCUGGUGGUAGUGCUCAUUUUCCUUACCAGGUAGCAGCAGCACUUCUUCUGCAGAGCUGGCCAGACAUCGUGUGAACCUUGUGCAGGGGGUUCAGCGGGUGAGUAUGUUUUAUUUAGACUGUGUAGACAUGGUUAUUUUGUUUCCUGGAAAAGUCAACAUUCAAUAUCCUCAUCUCCUCUCUCUCCUCUGCUGAGUUAACUGUGUGCUAACUACUUUUGCUCUUUGAACUCACUUCAUCAUUUCAGCAAUGGUAGUAAGUUGAGAGCAAAAGGGGAAAGUGGAAGGAGGACAUUCGAAAAGCAUCUGAAAAAGCGAGGCGGAGAUGCUUAGUCAGAACAGUUCCUGGCAAAUCAGGGAGUUUGGAGAGUAUGCACCAACAGUUUCGGGAUAAUGGUGACUGCACAGAUGCCAAUUUGUGCAAUUCAUG
rnacentral:lncRNA from 11 species